rnacentral:rRNA from 1 species
AUAUCAAUAAGCGGAGGAAAAGAAACCAACAGGGAUUGCCCCAGUAACGGCGAGUGAAGCGGCAACAGCUCAAAUUUGAAAUCUGGCCCCCUCGGGGUCCGAGUUGUAAUUUGCAGAGGAAGUUUCGGCGUCGGCCCCGGGUCAAGUCCCCUGGAACGGGGCGCCCUGGAGGGUGAGAGCCCCGUACCCGCCCGGGCGCGCUUUGCCGUGUGAAGCUCCUUCGACGAGUCGAGUUGUUUGGGAAUGCAGCUCUAAGUGGGAGGUAUAUUUCUUCUAAAGCUAAAUACCGGCCAGAGACCGAUAGCGCACAAGUAGAGUGAUCGAAAGAUGAAAAGCACUUUGGAAAGAGAGUUAAAAAGCACGUGAAAUUGUUGAAAGGGAAGCUCUUGCCGCCAGACUUACCGCGGUCGCUCAGCCGCCCCCCCGGGGCGGUGUACUCUUCCGUCGGCAGGCCAGCGUCGGUUCGGGCGGCCGGAUAAAGGCCUCGGGAAUGUAGCACCCUCCGGGGUGUGUUAUAGCCCGGGGCGCCAUGCGGUCAGUCCGGUCCGAGGCACGCGUUCGCGAGGACGCUGGCGUAAUGGCCGCAAGCGACCCGUCUUGAAACACGGACCAAGGAGUCUAACAUCUGUGCGAGUGUUUGGGUCUCACACCCAUGCGCGCAAUGAAAGUGAACGGAGGUGGGAACCCCCUCGAGGGGCGCACCAUCGACCGAUCCUGAUGUCUUCGGAUGGAUUUGAGUAAGAGCAUAGCUGUUGGGACCCGAAAGAUGGUGAACUAUUCCCGGAUAGGGUGAAGCCAGAGGAAACUCUGGUGGAGGCUCGCAGCGGUUCUGACGUGCAAAUCGAUCGUCAAAUCUAGGAAUAGGGGCGAAAGACUAAUCGAACCAU